GCUUUACUGCAACCUGAUAUGGAAUGUUUGUACCGCUUGUACAGGAUAGGUAGGAGCCGAAGAGACGUGUGCGCUAGCAUACGAGGAGGCAAUGGUGGGAUACUACCCUGGCUGUAUGACCAUUCUAACCCGCCACGCUUAGCGCGUGGGGAGACAGUGUCAGGUGGGCAGUUUGACUGGGGCGGUCGCCUCCUAAAGAGUAACGGAGGCGCCCAAAGGUUCCCUCAGAAUGGAUGGAAAUCAUUCGCAGAGUGUAAAGGCACAAGGGAGCUUGACUGCGAGACUGACAAGUCGAGCAGGGACGAAAGUCGGGCUUAGUGAUCCGGUGGUUCCGCAUGGAAGGGCCAUCGCUCAACGGAUAAAAGCUACCCCGGG
rnacentral:rRNA from 1 species